rnacentral:lncRNA from 1 species
GAAAGGGUAAUUGUUAGUACAUUGAUAUCUCAACAAAAUGGUAGAACCUUUCUUUAUACCACUAAGACAUUUGUCGCAGGUAUGCCUACAUAAUCAGUGUCCUUCAAAACUUUCAAGGAGUUAGCAAUGCCUAACCCCUGAAACACUAAAUGUCAUGGGAUCAACUCUUUACCUCUAGACCGAAGGUGUGACACCCAGACCCAAUUAGGGCUUAGAAAACAUAUCGAAUCUGAGUGAAACUAAAUGCCUGUAAAUCCAAAUCUCCAAAAUAUGAAAAAGUCAUCUAAUUUCUCUUUUCAUGUAUUUCACAAAAAUUUGAAAAAUUCAUUCUCAAUCAUAAACUAUGCACAGCUAAUUAUUCAGCAUCAGUAUAGAGCAAUACUUCCUCAUAAGCAAAUAAAUCUUACAAUCCUUCUUACAUGAUUUAAAAAAAAAUACUAAUAGAAGUCUUCUAGAUACAAACAUAAACAGAAUUCAACUGUUUAAAACUAUGCCAAAACACAAGCUUCAAUCAGUGAUACAUACGACUAAUUAUUAAAAACAUCUAGGCAGAAACCUUACGAAAGCUCAAUCCUUCCGAAGCAUUCUUCAAACUAAUAAUUGCAACCAUCUGUGAAAAAUAGUUGACAAGGAGUCAGCUGUGAAUUCAAUCAGUAGAAACAUUCGUAAUGAACAAAAAGAAUUCUUUGUGCAAUAUUUUCAGAAAAUUCAUUUAACCUUUCAAAUGAAACAGAGUAAUUUUUCUAACGCAGUCAGGAUUUAUAUAAAACACAAACGUUUCAGACAGAAGCUGUGUGGAAUGUAAAUUUUGCUUCUUUAAACAGAAAGUUAUAUAUUAGUUUGAUUUUAAAGGGAGGUUAUUGGGAAGUUAAAAUUGGCAGUUGUGGGAAAAGGGUAAUAGCAGUUAUAAAUCUGUUUUAAAGCAAAUUCAAAUCAAGUUUCAAAUUUUAGGAGUACUUAAUUCAAUAAAACAAGGAAUAAAUAAAGCUUUCAUUGAAACAAAACUAAGUAAAUUCAUUUAAAGCAAAACAGGAUGUGAGCAUUACAUAAGGGUUCUUGGCCAUACCAUGUUUACCUGCAGUCAGAUAUCUGGGUCCUUGUUAUUUGGAGACAAGACCUGAUUGUGCUAUGUUUUCCGCAGCUAGACACCUGUGGAUAAGAGAACCCUAAGCCUAUUGAGAAUAAAUUCUGUAAUCCAAGACUCUUCAGUUCUUUCAUUUGUGGCUAAUUAGUUAUAAAAUUUGUGAAUUACAUGCCCCAAUGCCCCUUGCAAAAUGUAGUUUAUAUCCUUAAGAUGCCCGUGGAUGAACUGAAAUAAUAAAAUAUAGAAGACAGACUUAAUGCCGAUAGCAUUUCUUAAGAAAAACUUGGGAUGUUUAUAAUUUUCUUAGAGCAUUUGCUGAACUUUCUGUGAUUGCAGUCGAGACGGGUCAAUGCUACUUCCCUCAUUGCUCAGAAGUGGCUGAGUUAAUGUUUCGCACCUUCUAUGAUUGCUCAGAAGUGGUCGAUGAGUUUUUGGAUUGUAAUUGGUCCGAUGCUUCCCUCCUAGAAAAGGGUACUCCUGAAGAGCAUAAACUCAGAAGGGCAUACUUCAUGAAACUUAAAGUAGACAUGCAGGAGGCACUCCGCAAGGACGUGGCUUAUCACCGUUGUUUGGGGCUGCCAUCAUCCUGGCCGGCAUUUAACCAGUACAUGGCUGGGAGCAAUCCGUCGGCAUUCUGCAAGUACGUGGCUGCGAGAAAUCAGUCGGAAUUCUUCAAGUACGUGGCUGCGAGCAAUCGUUCAGGAAUGUCGACAUCCUCGGCAGCGGAAAACUAAAGGAGUUGAGUGAGCUUAAAUGGUGUUUGUAGUUUCUUUUUUUUUUUCCUCAAGUGAUGUGGCAUGUAUCAAUUAGUUGGUAAAGUUAUUGUAUUGUCUCAAGUCCGGUGAGAUGCGCGAACGUGUAGCAUGGAUCACAAACUCAUUUCAUAGAAUAUUUUUGUGUAUAAUUAUAUAAUUUACAAUUGGUAUGAGGCAUGCAUGUGUGUGUCAUAUCAGUUGCUGAACAAACUUUGGCUUUUAGUUUUGUAGGCACUACCAUCUCAAAUUCUCUGUUAUCAUGAAUGUGUAUUUUUUUUCUUUUUUCUUUUUUCUUUUUUAACAAAUCAUAAAUGAGAUUAAGAUAAUCUUUUUUAAAAAAAAGGAAAAAAUGGAGAUUUCUUUUAUUUUUCCUUAAAAAACUGAAGAAAAAUUUAGAUGGUAGUGAGAGACGGAGAAUUAAAGCAAUUUUAUUCACAAAUGUAAUGUGUUUGGUGCAGCAAUACAAACUAAUAAAUUAUAAUUUAUCAGACUAGUUUACAGAAUCUUAUAUAUAAAAUUAUAUCCUCUGAAUAAAAAUCUUCUCACCUCUUUUUGACUUCUCAUUUAGAUGCCCUCUCUAGAAUUUCUCCAGCCAUAAACACAUUUUUACAAAACAAAACAGAAGAAAUUAUAUAUAAUUCUCACAAGGACUAUUUCAUUUGCACAUAGUACGAAAUUGGUCACUAAAGUUACUUGAGGAGAAAAUUUACAUGAAAUGGGUACAUCAUAUUAUCAGUAUUUUAGUUUAAAUUUGAACAUACUAGAAUGGUCUCUCAUAAAUUUUUCUCCAAUUUGAGAGAUGGUGGGGGAGUGGGGUUAAAGUGCAUCUACAUAGGAUUAAUUAUAAUUAAAUUUAUUUUUUAAAACUAUUUUAACUAGAAGCAGUAGUAAUUCUUUUUAUUAUUGUUAUUUAAAUUAUAUCAAAAUCUCGUGACUCGUGAUCAAAUUAAGUAGUUCAUUAAACUUUUUUAGGUGACGUAUGGUAUGGAGUUUUUAUAAAUCUAUAAAUAUAGUAAAAUAUUUAAUUUUGCUUGUCGUAAACUUUUAAUUUGCAUGGGUUAAAAAAGAAAAAAAGAAAUUGACUUAUUAAUUAAUUAAGAAUUAUAGAAAGAAUAAAGAGCAAAUUAUAGUUGCGUGAGAAAACUCUCGUGAAAAGGGCUCCAGAUUUCCUUUCCCUGGCUUCGUGCGUUUCCUUUUGCCCUUUUCGAGCACGAAUUCGAAUCCAGUACUUUAUAAUAAAGAUAUAACAUUAAAAAAUAAGAAAAAGAAUCCCAAUUUUUACUGGUAUAUAACGCAGAGCCAAAGCGAUAGCGAAACAUCAAAUUGUUUUUAUUUCAACCUUCGCGCAACUUCCGGUGACAUAAUUUUUCUCUGUUUCAGGUACAUACCCAACACUAAACUUUGCAUGUAUCAUUCUUGUACUUUUGUUAUUCUUUUCUUUUCUUUUCUCUUUCGCUGUAAUUUUUUAUGAAGCACUCUGUUUCAGUUCUGUUUCUGGUUUUGUUUCGGUUUAAUAUUAUUGGUUCGGUUCUGUUCUGCUCUGUUCUACGUCGUAUGUAUAUAUGUAUAUAUUUUUGGCCUCGAAUUGCUUUCAUCACCGGUUUUGUUAUUCAUUUAUCGUGAAUUUUAGAUGACUUGUUCGGCCAUGUUAUAUUCAGCUACCAUCUUCAUGGUGGGUUUGUAAGAUAGUCUCUGACUAACACAUGGCAUUGAUUAUGAAUGUGGUUUUGUGAGAUACAUCAUACAGACGUUAACUCGUGUUAAUUUGUACUUACAUCAUUCAAAAGAUUAGUGUUUUUCUCUCUUUUUUUUUUAAAAAAAAAAAAUUGAAAUGCCCCUUUUCGCAUUUUAUAGAUGAAAGGAAGAAACAUAAUAUCGCAGAACUAGAAUAAAGGAGCCUAUUCUGGUACCUAUUGCCCGAGGAACCUUCUGUAUAUUCGGUAGGAACUACCAUGGGAAGUCAAAUCUUACCAGAGCCAAGCGGAGUCGUUGUUGAAGGAAUGUAUAUUAGCAGAUCCAUUUGUCCCGUACACUUCAAUUGUUGGUAGCAUUUUUGCUUGCACGAUGGUAUGUUUGUCAUCGUUACUGCGUGGUGGUAUUUACUAGAAAAUAUUUUGAAUGCAUAGUUUUUAUUUAAUUAGUUAUAAAUUUUAUACCCUCUGUUUUCCAUAAGAAUGUGUUCCUUUUCAGGUCUAUGAUAUUGCCCAAUUGAUUAGUGUGCUGUUCACUUUAAAUCUGAUUCCAGUUUCUCCAACAUACAGCGGGUCGAGUGGAUUUUAAUCAUUUUUCUUAAAUCGACAACUUAUGCAGGGCCAUAUCAACUGUCCAUGACAUUUUUAUUACAACGAUGUCUUUGUACUUUGUGUUUUGGUCGGAUCUCAGAGUUUGUGCAUAGCACACUUGGUUCUACUGUUUGUUUGUCCCUUCAUAGACAUUUUGAUAAACUGUUAUUUUUGUUCUUUGGAAGUGAAUAUUUUCAGCAACUAGAACUCCGAAGCAUCUGGAGUGAUCCAUUUUGUCAUUCUCAAUACCUAUAAAAGAAUGUCAUAGAAAACAGUUUCCAAAGCAAGUUGCAUGUGUUUUGAAUUUGUCUUUGCAAGCCACUAAUUGCUUGGAGCGCACUGUUAGCCUGUCGUGAUCCCAUCCACUUUUUUGGAUAGACAAUUGUGCAUCCAUAUGAUCUGGACUAAACUAGUUUCUAAUAAAUAAUUGCCCAAGGAUUUAGUCUCAGUGUUACAGCCCAGUCUUUGUUGUCAAUACUCUUUCCCCUGUCGUGGAUGAGCGCCAUAACGGCUUUUUAAUGUUUUGCAGUGGCUUUUGCACGGUUGUUGUUUCCUUCUGAAGCUAGAGUAGCUACGGAUAGAGCGGAUGCAGAUGCCACCAAUUUUUAUACUGGCCUUUCAGCAUCAAAAUCAAAAGGAUCAAGUGGGAACAUAAAGGAGGUUGAUUUGAAUGAAACACCCUCUAUGCAAGCCAAGAGACUCCAAUUAAGACUGCAUGCUUUGCUUAAAACAGGUAUUUAUAUACCUUAUUAGUUUUUGUAUGUUUAUAAUUACUGAUUUUUGCAUCAAAAGAGAGAGGUUAAUUUUUAGUGCAUUUACUGAACUUUCUAUGAUUGCAGUGGAGACAGGUCGACGCUGCUUCCCUCGUUGCUCAGAAAUGGUUGAUAAAUUUUAGGAUUGUGAUUGGUCCGAUGCUUCCCUCCUAGAAAAAGGGUACUCCUGAAGAGCAGAGACUCAAAAGGGCACGCUUCAUGGAAUUUAAAGAAGGCGUGAAGAAGGCAUUUUACAAGGACAUGGCUGAGAAAAAAUGGCUCAGGUUUGUAGUCAUCCUCGUCAUCGUCAUCGUCAUCUUCUCCGAAGGAAGGAGUAAAGUGUAAGGGGUAGGAAAAGGUGAUGCUUAGCUGCUUGUCUUUGUUAUUCAUUUAUAGGCAACUAAAAGAGUUUUAGUGAGUUGGAUUGUUACUUGUAGAGAGAUACUCUUCGAGCCUAUGUUAUGGCUUAUGUUGUAUAAUAGCAGAGGAACUUCAAGCUUGCGUUGUUGUAUUUUCCCUGGUAUUUGGCAUGUAAUGCACUAAAUGACAAAGAAUUUUCUAAUUUUAGAGGGGAAAGUUAUGUCGGUUAAUUAUUUAUUUAUUUUGUCUGUUUAAUUCAGUUUACAUAGCUUUUUUUUUUUUUCUUUCCAAAAAAAUCUUCAUUUCUUCAUCUGCAAUUUAAGUCAUUUGUAACUUCUUUCAGGGAGGAGAGAGAGAAAAAAAGAAAAAGAAAAAGAAAAAGAAAAGAGUUUAUUUUACAGUACUGAUUUUGCUACAGAAAUUGGUUAAGGUGACAUUAAUGUUCUCAGUAACAGAUGGAUAUGCAGAAUUUUCGUCGAAAUUGAAAUUAGAAAUGGAUGGAUAUGAAUGACAUAUAUUCAGAAUUUUUUAGUAGAAUGUUUAAACAAAAAUUUUUAGCUCAUUACUCUCUAGAAGGAAAAUAAAUUUUUUAUUGUAAAUAUUAAAUAUUAAAUUUAUAAUAUAAUAAAUGUGUGACUUAAGGUGCACAAUACCUAUAUAAUAAUAAUAAUUAAGACAAGAAAAAUCAAAUUUUGUAAAUUACCAAAUUUCCCUUGGAAUUUGAUAUUACGUAGGUGUUGCAUCCACUGGGUUAGUACAACUGAAAGAAACUAACUAAAGUAAAUCAAAAUAUCAGAAAAAUAUGGCGAGCUUCUCAUUUUUUUUAAGUGAAAAAAAAGAAAACUGAAAUUAAUUAUUUUUAUACCCAAAUUCUCAUGCUCGAGGGCCGCUGGAAUUGGCCAUUGUAAUUUUGUCAUCCUCGUUAUUCACUGGCCAUCGCAGCCUUCCUCCCUUAAAAUGAGAGUCGUUUUUUGGACCACGACAUAAUAAAAAUAGUAUUGAUUAAUACUAAUAAAUUUCUUUUUGAUUAUUUUGCAGUGUGAUAGUCUAGUGCGUGCCAGUGCCCAUCAUAUCACUUGAACAUGUGGUAAAAUUCUGCGAGUCUUUGUAAAAUAAUUUUUAAAUUGUGUAUUAACGAAAUAGCUCAAUGAAGGCUAUCGCUCAUUAUUUUAUUUUGUAUAUAUUUAUGAUAAUUGUUGAAAAGAAAAUUGUAAAGUGAGAUUAAUGAACAUUUAUGAAUGUGGAAAUUAUCACAACCAGAAUUUAUGAUGAAAUAAUUUUCAGUCAAACGAGUGUAAGUUUGUAUAUAUAUAUAUAUUUUGAAUUGUCAUAUAUAUAUAUAAGUUUGUCACUAACAGUAAAUUAAAUUAUGAAUAUUUUAAUAAUUCAAAAUCUCAUUUAACCAUCAGUGUUUAUAGGGUGCGUUUGACACAUUGUAUUGUAUUAUAUUAUUUUAAUGCAUGUGUAUUGUAUUAUAUUGUAUUAUAUUUACACUGUAUUAUAAUAAUACUAUACAAUGUUUGGUACUACAUUGUAUUAAUUUUUAAUAAAUAUAUAAUAUUACACUGUAUUAUAUUAAUUUUUUAAUAAGUACUUUAAAUUAUAUAUUUAGAAAAUGACAUUUAUUAGUAGUUAAAAAAAUGCUAAAUAUAAAAUUCUUAAAUUUUAGAAAUUUAAUAUUAUCUUUUUGGUAUAAACGUUGAAAAAAAAAUCAUAAUUCCUCGUAAAGAUCGAAAUAAAUAAUUCAAUCAAAUAACCUUCAAAUAAUAUUAUAACAUAAAUAAAUAAUUAAAAUGUACAAGAUUAAGUUAAAAAUCAUUUUAAGAUAAUAAAAUAAAAAUUUAUGCAUAGUAUAAAAUAAUAUAGUUGCUGUAGUAUAAUAACCAACAAAAUAGACUGUACUAAAUAAUUCAAGUAAUAUAACAAUAUUUACAAGUACCGUUUUUGAAGGCCCCUUUUUUGUUUUAUUCUUAGAACUUCAUAGUUCUUUUGUUUUUUCUUUUUCUUUUUCUUUGCCCCUUUUUUGUUGUCUUCAUAGUUCUUUUGGCUUCAUAAGUUUCUUUUAACUGAGUUAAUAGUGUUGUUAGGUCAAACUAAGUUUGGCUUCAUAAGAUUCAUAGUAGAGUGUAGAACUGGGUAUAAUUUUGGGUUAGACAAGUCAAACGUCUUAUCAAGUAAUUGAUCUGCUUACUGAUUUGGUAAUUGCAACAUUGCUAAAUAGUUCAAUUUGUCCUUUUUAUUUUGUUGAAUUUAUUGUAUGUCAUAUUACUUGAUUUAAUUAUUUUCUCAGAUCUUCAAGGUGAAAAUUUCAGCUUCAAAGAACAAAGCUAAUCAUCCAGCAAUUCAAUGAAGAAACCAAGACACAGUGGCUCAUAAAUUGUAGUUGGUGAUUGAUCCAGCCAUUCGGGUGCUCGCCAGUCCUAGAUGAGAAAAUUUUCAACGCGGCGAAUAAAUUGCUGUUGAUCUGCUUUAUAUAUUUUGACGUUUGUGAUUUGUGAAUACAUGGUCUGAUUCCAGUGUUUACAACUUUGAAAUUCAAUUAAAAGUUGAGCUGUGAAAGAGUGUGUUGUAUAACUUGAGAAGCAAAUGAAACAAACAGGAAAUGUGUUUUUUAUUUUUUUAAUCUAUCUAUGUAACAAUUUAUAGCUGGCAAAGUAAUAGAGUUGUAUACUUGUAUUUAAUUAUUUAUUAUUAUUAUUUUGUAUCCAUGGUGUUUUGUCAUUUCGAAAGUACUUGACCCUUUCAAGCUAAGGCACACUCCAGCAGCCGAAACUUUGAGCUUUCAGUUCUUGAUUUUAGCGUGAGGGGUAUCUUUGUCUUUUCAGUAGUCAACACACGGUCAACAAAACAGUGUACAAACAAUCGACCUGUGAACUUGGGUCAAAGCUUUCAUCUUUAAAUCACAUAGGUAGAUCAUGAUUCAAGCUUCGGUUAUAAGCCUUUCAUUGUGAUUGAUAGUAUUCUUUCUUUGAUAUAUAUAUAUAUAUAGAUUCAGUUUGAAUAUGGUUCUUGAUGGUAUCAUGGAAAAUGCGAACGAAAAGUCAGCAUCUUUGAGUUUUGACUCAUCUUAUCAAACUUGUUGGUCCACUAAUCAAUCAACAGGCACUUGUGAUCUUGAUUAUUUCAACUUCAGGAUGCAAAGCAGCAAUCCCAAAGAGACAUGGCAUGACGCUGAGAUUGUUGUUGAGGGCAAAUCAGUGGCGGUUAAUCGCAGCAUAUUGUCUGAGCGCAGUCAAUAUUUUCGUCGGCUUUUUAAUUUGAGAAAUGAUGGUUCUGUCAGUGAGGAGAAACCCAAGUAUCUUAUGACUGAUUUGGUGCCUCAUGGGAAGGUUGGAUAUGAAGCUUUCAAUGAUAUCCUGCUUUAUAUUUACACUGGGAAGACAAAGGCAUCUCCUCCAGAAGCGUCCACGUGUGUUGAUGACGCUUGUACUCAUGGUGCUUGCCCUCCUGCUAUUAAUUAUGUUAUUGAGUUGAUGUAUGCUUCUGCUGCUUUUCAGAUGACACAUCUCGUUUCGGUUUAUGAGGUAGUUGCGCUUCCCCGCUAUUUGCAUUGCUUAAAUUUAUGCUUGUUGGUAUAGUUUUAACAUAUAUGGAAUUGAAAUCAAUUUCGGUUGUGAAGCAACUUCGGUGGUUCCCAAUAUUAGGCAUUGUAGUAGAUCCAAAAUUAGCUUGUUGAGAAGUGUAGAUACUGUAGAGCCCAAAACUUCGUCUUAUCUUGCAAGAGUCUGUUGUUUUAUUUUGAAAGAGACAAAAGUGAUGAUGAUGGGCAGCGAACUCUAGGAAUCAAUGCUUGCUGACACUGACCCCCAAGAAUCAAUGAGUCUGAAUUUGAUAAGUGCACCUAUCCUAUCACAAAAGCUUUUGCGUUGAGUUUCUAACCAAUUUUCAUUUGUGUAGGUGUCAGUUCAUGCUCUGGCUUGACUGUUCUGUUAUUUAGGUUGUUUUAUCCGUAUUUUCUUCACUCACUUGAUGGUUAGUUCUCUCAUGCUUUCAAGCUCUCAACAGUGAAUGCGGGAGAUUCUAUUUUUCCCGUCCAGUCUAUAACCUAGCAAAUCAUUAAUGCUGUAGAAUAACAUCUUGUGUAGCCGAGUUUAUGUCUCUGAACAUUGGUCCAUCGGCAUUUAGGAUCAAUAAGCAUGGCACUGAUUUUCCCCCUCAUUAUUAUUUUCCUCCACAGAUUAUCCCCUUUGAGUAUUUGAAUUUUGAAUAUAUUAUUCUGAAUCAAAACUCUAUCUGUCCGUGUAGCAUUUUUUAUAUGCUUUACGAUGUUUACCAAUAAUUACCCACUAUGGGGUAUUUGAAUUUUGAAUAUAUUAUUCUGAAUCAAAACUCUAUCUGUCCGUGCAGCAUUGGCUUCUGAACUUGGCUGAGGAUGCGCGUGUGGAAGAUGUAAUCCCAAUUCUCGUGGCUGCCUUCCAUUGCCAACAGAACAUGCUCUGUUCUUACUGCAUCCAGAGAAUUGCAGGAUCAAAUCUUGACAAUGUUUGUCUCGAGAAAGAGCUUCCUGAUGAAGUUUCAAGAGAAAUCAAAUCACUCCGUGUCAAAUCUAACCAGGAGUCUGAAGCUAAUAUAGCAGAAGUGGAUCCUAUGCAUGCAAAAAUAGUCAGAAGAAUCCAUAAGGCGCUGGACUCUGAUGACUUUGAACUGUUGAAGCUUCUUCUGGAUGUAUCUAAUGUCACUCUGGAUGAUGCUUAUGCUCUGCACUAUGCUGCUGCCUACUGCAACCCUAAGGUUUUUAAGGAAGUGCUCAAUAUGGACUUGGCUGGUCUCAAUCUUAAGAAUGCAAGAGGUCGUACGGUGCUUCAUGUGGCUGCAAGGCGUAAUGAGCCAGAAGUGAUGGUGACUCUGCUGAGCAAGGGAGCAUGCGCAUCAGAAACUACAUCAGAUGGGCAAACAGCUGUAGCAAUCUGUCGGAGAAUGACAAGGCGAAAGGAUUAUAUUGAAGCUUCAAAGCAGGGGCAGGAAACUAACAAAGACCGGUUAUGCAUUGACGUCCUUGAGAGAGAGAUGAGAAGGAACUCCAUGUCUGAGAACUUGGCAAUGUCAUCAGAGGUGAUGUAUGAUCAUUUCCAAGCGGAGCUGGACUAUCUAGAAAAUACAGGUGAUAUUUCUUUACUGGUAUUAGUUCAUCACCUUCUCAGAGUUUGUGCAUAGCACACUUCUUUCUACUGUUUGUUUGUCCCUUCAUAUGGAAAAUAGAGGUGAUAUUCCUUUACUGGUAUUAGUAAAUCAUCUUCUCAAGAGUUUGUGAGUCCCUUCAUUUUAGCAUCUCAAACACACAUGGGCUCAUUGCUUGGGGCACACUGUUGGGCAGUCAUGUGAUUUGAUCCCCUUUUUUGGAAUAGAGAAUUAUGAAUCCAUCUGAUCUAGGCUUGGUGGUUUGCACCGAAGUGGUUUUUGAUAAAUAAUUGUACAAGACUUUGUCAUCAAAAACUUUUUUUUUUUGUUUUCCAAAAGUAAUGAGGUACAAAAAUAUUUAUGCCUAUCCUGGAUGAGUGCCAUAACAGCUUCUUAAUAUUUUGCAGUGGCUUUUGUACGGUUGUUUCCUUCUGAAGCUAGAGUAGCUAUGGAAAUAGCUGGUGCAGAUACCGCCACUGGCCUUUCAGCAUUAGGUCAGAAAGGACUAAGUGGGAACUUAAAGGAGAUUGAUUUGAAUGAAACGCCCUCUAUGCAAGCCAAGAGACGCCAAUUGAGACUGCUUACUCUGCUUAAAACAGGUAUUUAUAUACUUUAUUAACUUUUGCACCUUUCUAUUUACUGAUUAUCUUUAUAAUUAACUAAUACAUGUAUCCAGGUUUCUCCUUCCAUUUCAUUAGAAGUAAAUUGGAAUCUCUUUAUAGUGCUCUGUUAGGUGUAAUCAGAUGUAUCAAAAGAGAAAGAGUAAUUGUUAGUACAUUGAUAUCUCAACAAAAUGGUGGAACCUUUCUUUAUACCACUAAAGACAUUUGUUGCAGGAUGCCUACAGAAUCAGUGUGCUUUAAAACUUUCAAGGAGUUCGCAAUGCCUAACCCUUGAAACACUAAAUCUCACGGGAUCAACUCUUUACCUCUAGACCGAAGGUGUGACACCCAGACCCAAUUAGUGCUUAGAACACAUAUCGAAUCUGAGUGAAACUAAAUGCCUGUAAAUCCAAAUCUCCAAAAUAUCAAAAAGUCAUCUACUUUCUCUUUUCAUGUAUUUCACAAAAUUUUGAAAAAUUCAUUCUCAAUCAUAAACUAUGCACAGCUAAAUAUUCAGCAUAUCAGUAUAGAGCAAUACUUCCUCAUAAGCAAAUAAAUCUUACAAUCCUUCUUACAUGAUUUUAAAAAAAUACUAAUAGAAGUCUUCUAGAUACAAACAUAAACAGAAUUCAACUGUUUAAAACUAUGCCAAAACACAAGCUUCAAUCAGUAAUACAUACGACUAAUUAUUAAAAACAUCUAGGCAGAAACCUUACGAAAGCUCAAUCCUUCCGAAGCAUUCUUCAAAUUAAUAAUUGCUACCAUCUGUGAAAAAUAAUUGACAAGGAGUCAGCUGUGAAUUCAAUCAAUAGAAAUAUUCGUAACGAACAAAAAUAAUUCUUUGCGCAAUAUUUUCAGAAAAUUCAUUUAACCUUUCAAAUGAAACAGAGUAAUUUUUGUAACGCAGUCAGGAUUUAUAUAAAACACAAACGUUUCAAACAGAAGCUGUGCGGAAUGUAAAUUUUGCUUCUUUAAACAGAAAGUUAUAUAUUAGUUUGAUUUUAAAGGGAGGUUAUUGGGAAGUUAAAAUUGGCAGUUGUGGGAAAAGGGUAAUAGCAGUUAUAAAAUCUGUUUUAAAGCAAAUUCAAAUCAAGUUUCAAAUUUUAGGAGUACUUAAUUCAAUAAAAUAAGGAAUAAAUAAAGCUUUCAUUGAAACAAAACUAAGUAAAUUCAUUUAAAGCAAAAAAGGAUGGGAGCAUUACUAUGGGUUCUUAUGUUUACCCGCAGUCAGGCAUCUGGGACCUUGUUAUUUGGAGACAAGACUUGAUUGUGCUAUGUUUUCCACAGCCAGAUAUAUUUUACUUCAUUAGUUCCUAGACAUCUGUGGAUAAGAGAACCCUAAGCAUAUUGAGAAUAAAUUCCGUAAUCCAAGACUCUUCAGUUCUUUCAUUUGUGGCUAAUUAGUUAUAAAAUUUGUGAAUUUCAUGCCCCAUGCUCCUUGCAAAAUGUAUUUUAUAUCCUUAAGAUGCCAGUGGAUGAACUGAAAUAAUAAAAAAUGGAAGACAGAUUUAAUGCCGACAACAUUUCUUAAGAAAAACUUGGGAUGUUUAUAAUUUUCUUAGAGCAUUUGCUGAACUUUCUGUGAUCGCAGUCGAGACGGGUCAACGCUACUUCCCUCAUUGCUCAGAAGUGGUUGAUCACUUUAUGGAUUGGCCCUAUGCUUCCACCCCAAAAAUGGACGACGAGAAACUUAAAGUAGACGUGCAGGAGGCAUUCUGCAAGGACGUGGCUUAUCACCGUCGUAGAGGGCUGCCAUCAUCCUGGCCGGCAUUUUACCAGUACAUGGCUGAGAGCAAUCAGUCGGCAUUUUACAAGUACGUGGCUGAGAGCAAUCGUUCAGGAAUGGCGACAUCCUCGGCAGCGAGCAAUUAAGCAUCACCUUUCCCUAAAAGAUAUAUUUGACACCUGGAAAACUAAAGGAGUUGAGUGAGCUCUGCUCGAUUGGUAUUUGUAGUUUCUUUUUUUUUUCCUCAAGUGAUCUGGCAUGUAUCAAUUAGUUUGUAAAGUUAAUUGUAUUGUCUCAAGUCCGGUGAGAUGCGCGAACGUAUAGCAUGGAUCACAAACUCAUUUCAUAGAAUAUUUUUUUGUAUAAUUAUAUAAUUUAUAGGCUUUGCUUAAAAAAAUUAAAAAAAAAAAAAAAGAAUUGUAUUACAAUUGGUAUGAGGCAUGCAUGUGUGUGUCAUAUCAGUUACUGAACAAACUUUGCCUUUUAGUUUUGUAGGCACUACUAUCUCAAAUUCUCUGUUAUCAUGAAUGUGUAUUUUUUUUCUUUUUUCUUUUUUAACAAAUCAUAAAUGAGAUUAAGAUAAUCUUUUUUUUUAAAAGAAAAAAAUGGAAAUUUCUUUUAUUUUUCCUUAAAAAACUGAAGAAAAAUUUAGAAGGUAGUGAGAGACGGAGAAUUAAAGAAAUUUUAUUCACAAAUGUAAUGUGUUUGGUGCAGCAAUACAAACUAAUAAAUUAUAAUUUAUGAGACUAGUUUGCAAAAUCUUAUAUAUAAAAUUAUAUCCUCUGAAUAAAAAUCUUCUCACCUCUUUUGACUUCUCAUUUAGAUGUCCUCUCUAGAAUCUCUCUGGCCAUAAACACAUUUUUACAAAACAAAACAGAAGAAAUUAUAUAUAAUUCUCACAAGGACUAUUUCAUUUGCACAUAGUACGCAAUUGGUCACUAAAGUUAUUUGAGGAGAAAAUUUACAUGAGAUGGGUACAUCCUAUUAUCAGUAUUGUAAUUUAAAUUUGAACAUACUCGAAUGGUCUCUCAUAAAUUUUUCUCCAAUUUGAGAGAUGGUGGGGAAGUGGGGUUAAAGUGCAUCUGCAUAGAAUUAAUUAUAAUUAUAUUUAUUUUUUUAAACUAUUUUAACUAGAAGUAGUAGUAAUUCUUUUUAUUAUUGUUAUUCCAAUUAUAUCAAAAUCUCGUGACUCGUGAUCAAAUUAAGUAGUUCAUUAAAUUUUUUUAGGUGACGUACGGUAUGGAGUUUUUAUAAAUUUAUAUAAAUAGUAAAAUAUUUAAUUUUGUUUGUCGUAAACUUUUAAUUUGCAUGGGUUAAAAACGAAAAAAAGAAAUUGACUUAUUAAUUAAUUAACAAUUAUAGAAAGAAUAAAAAGCAAAUUAGAGUUGCGUGAGAAAACUCUCGUGAAAAGGGUUCCAGAUUUCCUUUCCCUGGCUUCGUGCGUUUCCUGUUUGCCCUUUCGAGCACAAUUCGAAUCCAAUACUUAAUAAUAAAGAUAUAAUAUUAAAAAAUAAGAAAAAGAAUCCAAAUUUUUACUGGUAUAUAAGGCAGAGCCAAAGCGAUAGCGAAACAUCAAAUUGUUUUUAUUUCAACCUUCGCGCAACUUCCGGUGACAUAAUUUUUCUCUGUUUCAGGUACAUACCCAACACUAAACUUUGCAUGUAUCAUUCUUGUACUUUUGUUAUUCUUUUCUUUUCUUUUCUCUUUUGCUGUAAUUUUUUAUGAAGCACUCUGUUUCAGUUCUGUUUCUGGUUUUGUUUCGGUUUAAUAUUAUUGGUUCGGUUCUGUUCUGCUCUGUUCUACGUCGUAUGUAUAUAUGUAUAUAUUUUUGGCCUCGAAUUGCUUUCAUCACCGGUUUUGUUAUUCAUUUAUCGUGAAAUUUAGAUGACUUGUUCGGCCAUGUUAUAUUCAGCUACCAUCUUCAUGGUGGGUUUGUAAGAUAGUCUCUGACUAACACAUGGCAUUGAUUAUGAAUGAUGGUUUUGUGAGAUACAUCAUACAGACGUUAACUCGUGUUAAUUUGUACUUACAUCAUUCAAAAGAUUAGUGUUUUUCUCUCUUUUUGUUUUUAAAAAAAAAUUGAAAUGCCCCUUUUCACAUUUUAUAGAUGAAAGGAAGAAACAUAAUAUCGCAGAACUAGAAUAAAGGAGCCUAUUCUGGUAUCUAUUAUCCGAGGAACCUUCUGUAUAUUCGGUAGGAACUACCAUGGGAAGUCAAAUCUUACCAGAGCCAGGCGGAGUCGUUGCUGAAGGAAUAUAUAUUAGCAGAUCCAUUUGUCCCGUACACUUCAAAUGUUGGUAGCAUUUUUGCUUGCACGAUGGUAUGUUUGUCAUCGUUACUGCGUGGUGGUAUAUACUAGAAAAUAUUUUGAAUGCAUAGUUUUUAUUUAAUUAGUUAUAAAUUUUAUACCCUCUGUUUUCCAUAAGAAUGUGUUCCUUUUCAGGUCUAUGAUCUUGCCCAAUUGAUUAGUGUGCUGUUCACUUUAAAUCUGAUUCCAGUUUCUCCAACAUACAGCGGGUCGAGUGGAGUUUAAUCAUUUUUCUUAAAUCGACAACUUAUGCAGGGCCAUAUCAACUGUCCAUGACAUUUUUAUUACAACAAUGUCUUUGUACUUUGUGUUUUGGUCGGAUCUCAGAGUUUGUGCAUAGCACACUUGGUUCUACUGUUUGUUUGUCCCUUCAUAGACAUUUUGAUAAACUGUUAUUUUUGUUCUUUGGAAGUGAAUAUUUUCAGCAACUAGAACUCCGAAGCAUCUGGAGUGAUCCAUUUUGUCAUUCUCAAUACCUAUAAAAGAAUGUCAUAGAAAACAGUUUCCAAAGCAAGUUGCAUGUGUUUUGAAUUUGUCUUUGCAAGCCACUAAUUGCUUGGAGCACACUGUUAGCCUGUCGCGAUCCCAUCCACUUUUUUGGAUAGACAAUUGUGCAUCCAUAUGAUCUGGACUAAACUAGUUUCUAAUAAAUAAUUGCCCAAGGAUUUAGUCUCAGUGUUACAGCCCAGUCUUUGUUGUCAAUACUCUUUCCCCUGUCGUGGAUGAGCGCCAUAACAGCUUCUUAAUGUUUUGCAGUGGCUUUUGCACGGUUGUUGUUUCCUUCUGAAGCUAGAGUAGCUACGGAUAGAGCGGAUGCAGAUGCCACCAGUUUUUAUACUAGCCUUUCAGCACCAAAAUCAAAAGGAUCAAGUGGGAACUUAAAGGAGGUUGAUUUGAAUGAAACACCCUCUAUGCAAGCCAAGAGACUCCAAUUAGGAUUGCAAGCUCUGCUUAAAACAAGUAUUCAUAUACCUUAUUAGUUUUUGUACCUUUACAAUUUGUGAUUUUUGUAUCAAAAGAGAGAGAGGUUAAUUUUUAGUGCAUUUACUGAACUUUCUAUGAUUGCAGUGGAGACAGGUCGACGCUACUUCCCUCGUUGCUCAGAAAUGGUUGAUAAAUUUUAGGAUUGUGAUUGGUCCGAUGCUUCCCUCCUAGAAAAAGGGUACUCCUGAAGAGCAGAGACUCAAAAGGGCACGCUUCAUGGAACUUAAAGAAGGCGUAAAGAAGGCAUUUUACAAGGACAUGGCUGAGAAAAUAUGGCUCAGGUUUGUAGUCAUCCUCGUCGUCGUCAUCUUCUCCCAAGGAAGGAGUAAAGUGUAAGGGUAGGAAAAGGUGAUGCUUAGCUGCUUGUCUUUGUUAUUCAUUUAUAGGCAACUCAAAGAGUUUUAGUGAGUUGGAUUGUUACGUUGUAGAGAGAUACUCUUCGAGCCUAUGUUAUGGCUUAUGUUGUAUAAUAGCAGAGGAACUUCAAGCUUGCGUUGUUGUAUUUUCCCUGGUAUUUGGCAUGUAAUGCACUAAAUGACAAAGAAUUUUCUAAUUUUAGAGGGAAAAGUUAUGUCAGUUAAUUAUUUAUUUAUUUUGUCUGUUUAAUUCAGUUUAUAAUAUAGCUUUUUUUUUUUCUUUCCAAAAAAAUCUUCAUUUCUUCAUCUGCAAUUUAAGUCAUUUGUAACUUCUUUCAGGGAGGAGAGAGAGAAAAAAAGAAAAAGAAAAAGAAAAAGAAAAGAGUUUAUUUUACAGUACUGAUUUUCCUACAGAAAUUGGUUAAGGUGACAUUAAUGUUCUUUGAGGUAGACGGAUAUGCAGAUUUUUCGUCGAAAUUGAAAUUAGAAAUGGAUGGAUAUGCAGAAUUUUUUAAUAGAAUUUUUAUACAAAAAUUUGUAGCUCAUUACUCUCUAAAAGGAAAAAAUAAAUUUUUGAUGGUAAAUAUUAAAUUUUAAAUUUAUAAUAUAAUAACUUUGUGAGUUAAGGUGCACAAUACCCAUAUAUUAAUAAUUAAGAAAAGAAAAAAAUUAAAUUUUGUAAAUUACCAAUUUUUUCUUGAAAUUUGAUAUUCUAUAUUAACGUAGGUGUUGCAUGGACUGGGUUAGUACAAUUGAAAGAAACUAACUAAAGUAAAACAAAAUAUCAUUAAAAAUAUGGCAAGCUUCUCAUAUUUUUUAAGUGAAAAAGAGAAGAAAACUAAAAUUAAUUAUUGUUAUACCCAAAUUCUAGUGCUUGAAGGCCGCUGGAAUUGACCAUUGCAGUUUUGUCAUCCUCAUUAUUCACCGGCCAUCGUGGCCUUCCUCCAUUAAAAAAAUAAAUGACCAUUUUUUUGGACCACGACAUAUUAAAAAUAGUAUUGAUUAAUACUAAUAUAUCUCUUUUUUGAUUAUUUUGCAGUGCGAUAGUCCAGUGAGGGCAGUGCCCAUCGUAGCACUUGAACAUGUGGUAAAUUUCUGCCAGUCUUUGUAAAAUAAUUUUUAAAUUAUGUAUUAACCAGAUAGCUCAAUGAAGACUAUCGCUUACUAAAUCAUUACUUUAUUUUGUAUAUAUUUAUGGUAAUUGUUGAAAAGAAAAAUGUAAAGUGAGAUUAACGAACGUUUAUGAAUGUGGAAAUUAACACAACCAGGAUUUAUGAUGAAAUAAUUUUAUGUCAAAUGAGUAUAAAUUUGUAUAUAUAUAUAUAUAUUUUGAAUUGUCAUAUAUAUACAAGUUUGUCACUAAUAGUAAACUUAAUUAUGAAUAUUUUAAUAAUUCAAAAUUUUAUUUAACCAUCGGUGUUUAUAGUGUUUUUCAUAAUACAAAAUUGUAAACAGUCUCAUCCUGAAAAGUAUAAUGCCAAACCUUUUCAAAAAUUUAUUCUAUUAUAGUCGUCUUAGUCAGUUAUAUUUAUUUCCAAAUUGAAGAUAAAAAUAAUACUUCAUAUAUCAUACAUUACUUCAUACAUUACUUAAAGUUUUUUUUUUUCAAUCAAAUUAUGAGCAAGUGAAAGGAUGCAAUAAGUUACGACUAAAAUUGUAAAAUUUACCAAUGGCUAUAUACAAAGUCUGAUUCUCAUGAGCUUAAAAGAUGGGCUUUGAAUGAUGUAUGGUUCUCAAAACUAUACUUAUAUUAAUAUGAUUGCCCUGCUUCCUUCAUGACGGGUAAUUUUUAGUUUCUUUCCCUGAAAUUUGGCGUAUCUCCAUUUUAAUGGGAAGUAUUAGCGUAUCUCCCACUUUUCUCCCCUGCCGUUUGUAUACCGUUUCAUAUUGUUAAUGGACGAAGCUACAAGUCUUCUCUUUCAUCAAAUCGAUCCAUAACAAAUACGAGUCUGCUUCACCUAACCAAAACACACACAUACUCCAUCUCUAAAUGCUUUGAAGAUAAACAAAUCAACCGUAAUCCUGCAACUUUAGCUCAGAGAAUCGGAUAAGAAAAGAACAGGUGAUGAAUCAAGGGUAAUGGCGCCGAGUGAGUGUCGCCUGCGGUCGGCGUUAGAGGCGACUGUCACUCAAUCGCGUACAAGGUUAGUCUUUGAAAAAACUCUUUGCACGUUAGAAAUCAGUGAUUGGGCAUUAUUUUGUUGUUUAAAAAUGAAAAUGGGUUUAUUAGUUUGUCGAAGAAUCUGCUCUGUUGCCGGUGUUGUUUGUUGAUUAAAAUGAAAAUGGGUUUGUUGAUGUGUUGAAGAAGUUGCUCUACUGCUGGUGUUUUUUUAUUAAUUAAAAUGAAAAUGGGUUUGUUAAUUUAUUGAAGCAGCUGCUGGCAUUGUUAUUGUGACUUUAUUUAUCCAAUUGAUGAGCUUAUGAGCUAAUAGUAUUGUUUGAUCAAGCUUGUGUUCUUAAUAGUGGAGUUGAUAUUCUUAAAAAUGAAUUUAUGAUUAUGAGAAUAUGAAAAUUGAAUGGCAUCAUAGAGAUCUAGAUUAAUCACCAUCGUAUAUGUUUCUAAAUAAAGGAAUAAGCAGCAACUGAUUUGAAACUUAAGACUUUAGGGAUAUGUAUGUGCAACUGAAUGAAUCAUCAGUUGCUAUCUUGUAAGUCAAUACUAGCAUAUUACUUAAUGGCAAGUGAAACUAUUUUAUGUGUAUUGCUGCCUAUCAAAAUGUUUAUGUUUGAAGUUAUCUCCUUUUAGGAAAUUGAAUGCUUCUGUGAGUUCUCUGGUAAGGGCUAUACAACUAGUUCUAAUAGAUUCCUUCAUGUGCAUUAAUUAGCUUAGUAGUUUAUUGACCUAUAUCCAAUGUCUAUUCCCCUUUUCUGUAGCCGUCUAGUUUUAUGAGCAUGUGAAGUGAACUUUUGUUUUAUGUUUCAGGACUUGGGAUUAGAGUGUAUAACAUUCAAUAUCUUUUUAUCAAAGAACUGAUAUAUGUCAAUGUAGUGCGAUCUGGUCUUUAUUAGCUUCUUGAUUUGCCAGGAUGUUUGACAACCAUCUUUGACCAUGAUUGCCAACAUAUAAGCUGCUACAUAGUGUCUCAGGAAUCACAGCAAAUUAUUAUCAUAAUAUGGUGAUUUUGAAUCCAAAACUUGGUAGUGUCAAGAAAAUAGACCCCUGUUUAUUUAUCUUCAUGUUUUGUAUGCGGCUGCAAUAGACUAUUAUAAGUUACUUUUAGUUUUAUCAAGUUUUUUUUCCUUAAAUUUCAUCGAGUCUUGGAGUCUUUGUAAUAUAGAGUCUAAGUGAAGAAUACUUGGGUGAAAUCUUGUAUUCUCUCUUCCAGUAAUAUAAUCAUCCUUUGUGUUUUUAUCUUUUUAUUUUGGAAUCAGAGCAUACUUUAUUAUAGAAGGACUUAGACUCUAUAUUACAAAGACUCAGCGGUUUCUUUUAACUGAGUUAAUAGUGUUGUUAGGUUAAACUAAGUUUGGCUUCAUAAGAUUCAUAGUAGAGUGUAGAACUGGGUACAAUGUUGGGUUAGACAAGUCAAAAGUCUUAUCAAGUAAUUGUUCUGCUUACUGAUUUGGUAAUUGCAACAUUGCUAAAUAGUUCAAUUUGUCCUUUUAUUUUGUUGAAUUUAUUGUAUGUCAUAUUACUUCAUUUAAUUAUUUUCUCAGAUCUUGUAGGUGAAAAUUUCAGCUUCAAAGGCCAAGCUAAUCAUCCAGCAAUUCAGUGAAACCAAGACACAGUGGCUCAUAAAUUGUUGUUGGUGAUCCAGCCAUUCGGGUGCUUGCCAGUCCUAGACGAGAAAACUUUCAACGCGGCGCAUAAAUUGUUGUUGAUCUACUUUAUAUAUUUUGACCUUUGUGAUUUGUGAAUACAUGGUUUGAUUCCAGUGUUUACAACUUUGAUACUGUGUAUAACUUAAAAAGCAAAUGAAACAAGUAGGAAAUGUGUUUUUAUUUUUUUUAUUCGAUCUAUCUAUUUAUUUUUUGUUUGGAAAUGUAACAAUUUAUAGCUGGCAAAGUACUAGAGUUGUAUACUUGUAUUUAAUUCAUUAUUAUUAUUUUUUUAAUGACUCAGUAAUGUCAUUGUCCAUGGUGUUCUGUCAUUUCGAAAGUACUUGACCCUUCCACGCUAAGGCACAUUACAGUAGCCGAAAUUUUGAGCUUUCAGUUCUUGAUUUUAGCGUGAGGGGUAUCUUUGUCUUUUCAGUUGUCAACAAACAAUUGGGGGGGGGGGGGGGGGCGGUGGUGGAGAUACGCUGAUACUUUCUAUCAUACUGGAGAUACACCUAACCUCAGGGAAGGAAACUGAAAUUUCACCUUUACGACGGGUGGACUUGGGUCAAACUUUCAUAUUUUAAUCAAGUAGGUCGAUCACGAUUCAAGCUUCAGUCAUAAGCCUUUCGUUAUGAUUGAUAUUAUUCUUUCUUGAUAGUAUCAUGGAAAAUGCAAACGAAAAGUCAGCAUCUUUGAGUUUUGUCUCAUCAUAUCCGACUUGUUGGUCUACUAAUCAAUCGACAGGCCCUUUUGAUCUUGAUAAUUUGAACUUAAGGAGGCAAAGCAGCAAUCCUGAAGAGCCAUUGCUUGAUGCUGAGAUCGUUGUUGACGGCAAAUCAGUGGCAGUUAAUCGCAGCAUAUUGUCUGCACGCAGUCGUUUUUUUCAUUGGCUUUUUCAUUUGAGCAGUGAUGGUUCUGUGAGUGAGGGGAAACCCAAGUAUCUUAUGACUGAUUUGGUGCCUUAUAGGAAGGUUGGAUAUGAAGCUUUUAAUGAUAUCUUGCAUUAUCUUUACACUGGAAUGCGUAAGGCACCUCCUUCAGAAGUGUUCACGUGUGUUGAUGAUACUUCUGUCUGUAGGCUUCAUAGAUUUGUUCAAGCCUUCAAGGAUGUCUAGCUGUUACUUACCGCCCAACAAUGGUGCUACAUUUCUAGUGAAUGAUAUGUUAUUCUACAUCUGUAUAUUGCGACUUUGACAAACUUCGCCUUUCCUUUGUUGAUUCACUCGUCUCACUUUUUUUAAAUUGCCCGAUUAUGAAAUGGUCUAUUGGAGACUAGCAUUGGAAGGUUUCUUCUGGAAAAAAAAUUUUACUUGACCACCAAUUUUCAUUUAGGUGGGUGUCAGUUCAUUCUCUGGCUUGACUGUUCUGUUAUUUAGGUUGUUUUAUCCGUAUUUCCUCACUCACUUGAUACUGAGUUUUCUCAUGCUUUCAAGCUCAACAGUGAAUGCGAAUGCGAGAGAUUCUCUUUCUUCCCGUCCAGGCUACAACGUAGCAAAUUGUUAAUGCUGUAGAAUAACAUCUUGUGUAGGCGAGCUUAUGUCUCUGUGAACAUUGGUCCAUCGGCAUUUAGGUUCAAUAAGCAUGGCACUGAUUUUCCCCCUCAUUAUUAUUUUCCUGAACAGGUUAUCCCCUUUAAGUAUUUGAAUUUUGAAUAUAUUAUUCUGAAUCAAAACUCUAUCUGUCCGUGUAGCAUUUUAUAUAUGCUUUAUGAUGUUUACCAAUAUUUACCCACUAUGGGGUAUUUGAAUUUUGAAUAUAUUAUUCUGAAUCAAAACUCUAUCUGUCCAUGUAGGAUUUGUUUCUGAACAAGGCUGAGGAUGCUCUUGUGGAAGAUGUAAUCCCAAUUCUCGUGGCUGCCUUCCAUUGCCAAUUGAACAAGCUUCGUUUUUUCUGCAUCCAGAGAAUUGCAAGGUCAAAUCUUGACAAUGUUUGUCUUGAGAAAGAGCUUCCUGAUGAAGUUUCAAGAGAAAUCAAAUCACUCCGUGUCAAAUCUAACCAGGAGUCUGAAGCUACUAUAGCAGAAGUGGAUCCUAUGCAUGCAAAAAUAGUCAGAAGAAUCCACAAGGCGCUGGACUCUGAUGACGUUGAACUGUUGAAGCUUCUUCUGGAUGUAUCUAACGUCACUCUGGAUGAUGCUUACGCUCUGCACUAUGCUGCUGCCUACUGCAGCCCUAAGGUUUUUAAGGAAGUUCUCAAUAUGGGCUUGGCUGAUCUCAAUCUUAAGGAUGCAAGAGGACGUAUGGUGCUUCAUGUAGCUGCAAGGCAUAAGGAGCCAGCAGUGAUGGUGGCCCUGCUGAGCAAGGGAGCAUGCGCAUCAGAAACUACAUCAGAUGGGCAAACAGCUUUAGCAAUCUGUCGAAGAAUGACAAGGUGAAAGGAUUAUAUUGAAGCUACAAAGCAGGGACAGGAAACUAACAAAGACCGGUUAUGAAUUGAUGUCCUUGAGAGAGAGAUGAGAAGGAACUCCAUGUCUGGGAACUUGGCAAUGUCAGCAGAAGUGAUGGAUGAUGAUUUCCAAAGGAAGCUGGACUAUAUGGAAAAUAUAGGUGAUAUUUUUUUACUGGUAUUAGUUCAUCACCUUCUCAGAGUUUGUGCAUAGCACACUUCUUUCUACUGUUUUUUUGUCCCUUCAUCUGGAAAAUAAAGGUGAUAUUCCUUUGCUGGUAUUAGUAAAUCAUCUUCUCAGAGUUUGUGAGUCCCUUCAUCAUAGGAUCUCAAACACACAUGGGCUUCUCAGAGUUUGUGAGUCCCUUCAUCAUAGGAUCUCAAACACACAUGGGCUCAUUGCUUGGAGCACACUGUUGGCCAGUCGUGUGAUUUGAUCCCUUUUUUGGAAUAGACAACUCUGAAUCCAUCUGAUCUAAGCUUGGCGGUUUGCACUGAACUGGUUUUUGAUGAAUAAUUGCACAAGACUUUGUCAUCAAAACUUUCAUUUUUUGGUUUUUUUGCCCCAAAAGUAAUGAGGUACAAAAAAAUCUAUGCCUAUCCUGGAUGAGUGCCAUAACAGCUUCUUAAUAUUUCGCAGUGGCUUGUGUACGGUUGUUUCCUUCUGAAGCUAGAGUAGCUAUGGAAAUAGCAGGUGCAGAUACAACCACUGGCCUUUCAGCAUUUGGUCGGAAAGGACUUAGUGGGAACUUAAAGGAGGUUGAUUUGAAUGAAAUGCCCUCUAUGCAAGCCAAAAGAUGCCAAUUGAGACUGCUCACUCUGCUUAAAACAGGUAUUUAUAUACUUUAUUCACUUUUGCACCUUUCUAUUUACUGAUUAUCUUUAUAAUUAAAUAAUACAUGUAUCCAGGUUUCUCCUUCCAUUUCAUUAGAAGUAAAAUUGGAAUCUCUUUAUAGUGCUCUGUUAGGUGUAAUCAGAUGUAUCAAAAGAGAAAGGGUAAUUGUUAGUACAUUGAUAACUCAACAAAAUGGUAGAACCUUUCUUUAUACCACUAAAGACAUUUGUUGCAGGUGUGCCUACAUAAUCGGUGUCCUUUAAAACUUUCAAGGAGUUAGCAAUGCCUAACCCUUGAAACACUAAAUCUCACGGGAUCAACUCUUUACCUCUAGACCGAAGGUGUGACACCCAGACCCAAUUAGGGCUUAGAACACAUAUCGAAUCUGAGCGAAACUAAAUGCUUGUAAAUCCAAAUCUCCAAAAUAUCAAAAGGUCGUCUACUUUCUCUUUUCAUGAAUUUCACAAAAUUUUGAAAAAUUUAUUCUCAAUCAUAAACUAUGCGCAGCUAAUUAAUCAGUAUAUCAGUAUACAACAAUACUUCCUCGUAAGCAAAUAAAUCUUA